GAUGAACGCUGGCGGCGUGCCUAAUACAUGCAAGUCGAGCGAACAGACGAGGAGCUUGCUCCUUUGACGUUAGCGGCGGACGGGUGAGUAACACGUAGGUAACCUACCUAUAAGACUGGGAUAACUUCGGGAAACCGGAGCUAAUACCGGAUAAUAUUUCGAACCGCAUGGUUCAAUAGUGAAAGAUGGCCUUGCUAUCACUUAUAGAUGGACCUGCGCCGCAUUAGCUAGUUGGUAAGGUAACGGCUUACCAAGGCAACGAUACGUAGCCGACCUGAGAGGGUGAUCGGCCACACUGGAACUGAGACACGGUCCAGACUCCUAAGGGAGGCAGCAGUAGGGAAUCUUCCGCAAUGGGCGAAAGCCUGACGGAGCAACGCCGCGUGAGUGAUGAAGGUCUUCGGAUCGUAAAACUCUGUUAUUAGGGAAGAACAAACGUGUAAGUAACUGUGCACGUCUUGACGGUACCUAAUCAGAAAGCCACGGCUAACUACGUG
rnacentral:rRNA from 1 species